rnacentral:rRNA from 1 species
GAUGAACGCUGGCGGCGUGCCUAAUACAUGCAAGUCGAGCGAACAGACAAGGAGCUUGCUCCUUUGACGUUAGCGGCGGACGGGUGAGUAACACGUGGGUAACCUACCUAUAAGACUAGGAUAACUUCGGGAAACCGGAGCUAAUACCGGAUAAUAUUUCGAACCGCAUGGUUCGAUAGUGAAAGAUGGUUUUGCUAUCACUUAUAGAUGGACCCGCGCCGUAUUAGCUAGUUGGUAAGGUAACGGCUUACCAAGGCGACGAUACGUAGCCGACCUGAGAGGGUGAUCGGCCACACUGGAACUGAGACACGGUCCAGACUCCUACGGGAGGCAGCAGUAGGGAAUCUUCCGCAAUGGGCGAAAGCCUGACGGAGCAACGCCGCGUGAGUGAUGAAGGUCUUCGGAUCGUAAAACUCUGUUAUUAGGGAAGAACAUACGUGUAAGUAACUAUGCACGUCUUGACGGUACUUAAUCAGAAAGCCACGGCUAACUACGUGCCAGCCGCCGCGGUAAAAC